AUACAUAUUGCCUGACAAUAUGUAUGUUUUUUUGACAGCUGUUUAGAAACUUAUCGAAAGUGUAUCUGGAACUUCUAAAGAUGCGCAAAUUGCAGAUCUCAACUUUGGGAAUGUUGCCUACAUCUUCGCGAUUUAGCUUUACAUUUGACACACUUUUUGCUACUCAUCAACUACAUAACAUAUUAAUUUCAGAACCGUUACGUAUUUUAUAGUUCGAUAACCGUUUCCUAAUAUUUUCCCUAAUUUCAAUAGGUUUUAGAGACAAGGAACCAAUAAACAAUUUUUGCAUACGAUCAAUGUCUUUUUUUACACGGUUUUUCAGGAACCUAUCUACCGUGUAAAAACAGAAUUAGGUGUAUAUGGAAAGAAACUCAUCGUUGCUACCGAUUCAAUAAUCGGAUUCAACGAGAGCGAAAAAGAGAGCCAUUACCGAUUCGAAGCGAACAGUUCGGCAUCGAUUCUAUCGACUGCCAAGGUCGCGAGAAUUAAAAAAACCAGCCAAUUAAUGUUUAUAUCCCCUAUGUUACAAAUGAAAUUUAAUGGAUUGUUGAAAUGUCCGACCAGUGAGAGAUCCUUACUCGAAGGCUACUCGUAUUGAACUAAUUCACCAGUUAUUGAAAGAGCCGUAAAAUUGCGAAAUAACAAAAACAAAAGACAAGUCUCAUCUUUAUACCCUAGUCGAAGGUACUUCAAUUAUGGCCAAAAGCUUGUCACGGACAAAGCAAGGAAUUUCCGAAAAAACUUGAUCCAUUUAUUUUUGAGCUGUCUAAAUUUUUCUCUGUUUAAGCUCAUAAAAAAUAAAAUGUUCAAAUUUUGAAUAAAAUUACCUACUUGAUGCACA